rnacentral:rRNA from 1 species
UGUCGAAUGGCUCAUUAAAUCAGUUAUCGUUUAUUUGAUAGUACCUUACUACAUGGAUAACCGUGGUAAUUCUAGAGCUAAUACAUGCUGAAAAUCCCGACUUCGGAAGGGAUGUAUUUAUUAGAUUAAAAACCAAUGCCCUCACGGGCUCUCUGGUGAUUCAUAAUAACUUCUCGAAUCGCACGGCCUUGCGCCGGCGAUGGUUCAUUCAAAUUUCUGCCCUAUCAACUUUCGACGGCUGGGUCUUGGCCAGCCGUGGUGACAACGGGUAACGGAGGGUUAGGGCUCGACCCCGGAGAAGGAGCCUGAGAAACGGCUACUACAUCCAAGGAAGGCAGCAGGCGCGCAAAUUACCCAAUCCCGACACGGGGAGGUAGUGACAAUAAAUACUGAUACAGGGCUCUUUUGGGUCUUGUAAUUGGAAUGAGUACAAUUUAAAUCCCUUAACGAGGAACAAUUGGAGGGCAAGUCUGGUGCCAGCAGCCGCGGUAAUUCCAGCUCCAAUAGCGUAUAUUAAAGUUGUUGAGGUUAAAAAGCUCGUAGUUGAACCUUGGGCCUAGCCGGCCGGUCCGCCUCACCGCGUGCACUGGCUCGGCUGGGUCUUUCCUUCUGGAGAACCGCAUGCCCUUCACUGGGUGUGCCGGGGAACCAGGACUUUUACUCUGAACAAAUUAGAUCGCUUAAAGAAGGCCUAUGCUCGAAUACAUUAGCAUGGAAUAAUAGAAUAGGACGUGUGGUUCUAUUUUGUUGGUUUCUAGGACCGCCGUAAUGAUUAAUAGGGACAGUCGGGGGCAUCAGUAUUCAAUUGUCAGAGGUGAAAUUCUUGGAUUUAUUGAAGACUAACUACUGCGAAAGCAUUUGCCAAGGAUGUUUUCAUUAAUCAGGAACGAAAGUUAGGGGAUCGAAGACGAUCAGAUACCGUCGUAGUCUUAACCAUAAACUAUGCCGAUUAGGGAUCGGACGGCGUUAUUUUUUGACCCGUUCGGCACCUUACGAUAAAUCAAAAUGUUGGGCUCC